rnacentral:rRNA from 1 species
AGAUGCGAGAGUAGAGCAUAUCAAUAAGCGGAGGAAAAGAAACUAACUAGGAUUCCCUCAGUAACGGCGAGUGAAGCGGGAAGAGCUCAAAUUUGAAAUCUUCAAGGUUCUACCUUGACGAAUUGUAGUUUAAAGAAGUGUUUUCUGUUGGAGUUUUGGUAAAAGUUCUUUGGAAUAGGACAUCAUAGAGGGUGAGAAUCCCGUAUUUGGUCAUUCCUCCUAGCGUUGUGAUACACUUUCAACGAGUCGGAUUGUUUGGGAAUGCAGUCCAAAAUGGGUGGUAAAUUUCAUCUAAAGCUAAAUAUUGGCGAGAGACCGAUAGCGAACAAGUACCGUGAGGGAAAGAUGAAAAGAACUUUGAAAAGAGAGUUAAACAGUACGUGAAAUUGUCAAAAGGGAAGCGUUUGACACCAGUGUUGUUUUUCCGAAAAUCAAUUACUAAAUGUUUUGUUUUUGAGGAGUUAUGACUUCAUCGGCUUGCUUCUCUCUUUACGAAACUUUCUUAAUGCACUUUUCGGUUAACAAGUCAACAUCAAUUUCUUUUGUUGUAAAAGGGUCAUUGGAAGGUGGCUUUCUUUUCGGAGAAAGUGUUUAUAGCCUUUGAUCUCUGCAACCGGAGAGACUGAGGUCUGCAGCGUAGACUCUUCGGGGUUAAAUACAUUUGUGCUAAGCUAUAGCUUUUUAUAGACAACUUGUUGACUAUAUUUAGUCUUGUGGCUUACUCGCUUAUGCUAUUUUACCUACGCUUAGGAUGUUGACACACGCGCGUGCUCG